rnacentral:tRNA from 1 species
GAAAUAAUUAGUAAAAAGUGAAAGCUGCUAACUUAUCACUAUAGCGGUUAAACUCCGUUUAUAUUUCU